UGAAAGGCGAAACGUAAUGUGAAUCGCAACUAACAGUGAAUCAUUGAAUUUUUGAACGCAGGCCGCAGCUCACAACAUUACUUACGUUUUGUAGUCAGCUAUCUAUGUAUGAGUGUCAGUCGUAUUCAUUUUAAGCGUCAUUCAAAGCGUAAGCAGAAUGAGCUUCUGGUCGAACACCAGAAAUUAAAUUUCUGGCCUCAUAUAUGGAAGGUUACCCGCUGGAUUUAA
rnacentral:misc_RNA from 1 species